CCUACGGGAGGCAGCAGUGGGGAAUUUUGGACAAUGGGCGCAAGCCUGAUCCAGCAAUGCCGCGUGAGUGAAGAAGGCCUUCGGGUUGUAAAGCUCUUUUGUCAGGGAAGAAACGGUGGGGGCUAAUAUCUCCUACUAAUGACGGUACCUGAAGAAUAAGCACCGGCUAACUACGUGCCAGCAGCCGCGGUAAUACGUAGGGUGCAAGCGUUAAUCGGAAUUACUGGGCGUAAAGCGUGCGCAGGCGGUUUUGUAAGUCUGUCGUGAAAGCCCCGGGCUCAACCUGGGAAUUGCGAUGGAGACUGCAAGGCUUGAAUCUGGCAGAGGGGGGUAGAAUUCCACGUGUAGCAGUGAAAUGCGUAGAGAUGUGGAGGAACACCGAUGGCGAAGGCAGCCCCCUGGGUCAAGAUUGACGCUCAUGCACGAAAGCGUGGGGAGCAAACAGGAUUAGAUACCCUGGUAGUCCACGCCCUAAACGAUGUCUACUAGUUGUACGGUUUUAAUUAACUUGGUAACGCAGCUAACGCGUGAAGUAGACCGCGUGGGGAGUACGGUCGCGAAGUAAUUAAAACUUNAAAGUGUUAAGUUAGUACGGCGUUGAGACGAGCGACGGACGACGACGAGGGAGGAGG
rnacentral:rRNA from 1 species